rnacentral:pre_miRNA from 1 species
GGCUUAAUUACUCUUUUGGUCCUUUAACUUAUUUUUUGGUUUCGUUUUGGUCCCUUAACUUAUUUUUUGAUUUCGUUUUGGUCCUUAACUCUAAUACAUUCAUCCUAACAUAAAGGACCAAAGUGGUUGACAGAGGAAGAGUUAAGGGACCAAAACGAAACCAAAAAAUAAGUUAAGGGACCAAAACGAAACUUUUAAUAGUUAAACGAAACCAAAAAAUAAGUUAAGGGACCAAAACGAAACUUUUAAUAGUUAGGGGA